CUGUCUCAGUUCGGAUUGGAGGCUGAAACCCGCCUCCAUGAAGUUGGAUUCGCUAGUAAUCGCGCAUCAGCCAUGGCGCGGUGAAUACGUUUCCGGGCCUUGUACACACCGCCCGUCAAGCCAUGGGAGCCGGGGGUGCCUGAAGUUCGUGACCGCAAGGAGCGACCUAGGGCAAAACUGGUGACUGGGGCUAAGUCGUAACAAGGUAAC
rnacentral:rRNA from 1 species